rnacentral:rRNA from 1 species
GGGGAAAAAUUAAUAAUAAAGUAUAAAAUAAUAAAAUUAAUUUUAAUUUAAAAAUAUUUAAUUGGGGGGUUAAAGUAUUUUUAAAGAAAAAAUUAACUAUUUUAUAGAAAAUUAGUAUAGUAAUAGAAUUUUGAAAUAUUUUGAAAAUAAAUUAUUUAUAAAGAAAAUUUAUUUUAUUGUAUCUUGUGUAUCAGAGCUUAUUAAAAAAAUUUUUUAUAUAAAAAAUUCUCAAAUUUAAAAGAGUUAAUUAGUAAUAAAAUUUAAUGUUUUAUAAUUAUUUUAAAUUAUUAAUUUGAAAUGAAAUGUUAAUCGUUUUUAAAUAUAUUUAGUUUUUUUAGAAAUAAAUUUAAUUUAUAAUUUUAAUUUUGAUUAAUUUUUUUAUUUAAAUAAAUCAAUUAAAAUAAAAGUAUUUUAAGGGAUAAUCUUUAAAGUAAAUUUUUAUAAUAAAAUAAUAUUUUAUAAAUUAAAAAUUUUAUAAUUUAUAUUUUUAAUAAAUUUUAAUUUUUUAUAAAUAAUUUUAAUAAAAAUAAAAUUUUAAUUUAUUUAAUUUUAUAUAAAAAAAAAUAAUUUAAUAAAGAAAUUAUUAUUAUAAUGAUAAGAUUAGUAUAUAAAUAAUAUAAUAAUUAUAUUUAUUAUUUUAAUUUAUAAAAAGGAAUUCGGCAAAAAUUUAUUUAUGUAUGUAUAUAUGUAUAUAUAUAUAUAUAUAUAUAAUAUUUUCACCUGUUUAUCAAAAACAUGUCUUUUUGAUUAUAAUUUAAAGUCUAAUCUGCCCACUGAUUAUUAAUUAAAGGGCUGCAGUAAUUUGACUGUACAAAGGUAGCAUAAUCAUUAGUCUCUUAAUUGGUGACUUGUAUGAAAGAUUGGAUGAGAUAUAUACUGUCUCUUUAUAAUUUUUAGAAUUUUAUUUUUUAUUUAAAAAGAUAAAAUAAGUAUAAAAGACGAGAAGACCCUAUAAAGUUUAAUAAAAAAUUUAUUAAAAAUUAUUUAUAAAAUUUAAAUUGAAAUUAGGUUUUUUAUUUUGUUGGGGUGAUAAAAAAAUUAAAUUAACUUUUUUUAAUAAAUUUACAUAAAUAAUUGAUUUAUUGAUCCAGAAUUUUUGAUUACAAGAUUAAAUUACUUUAGGGAUAACAGCGUAAUUUUUUUUUUUAGUUCAUAUAAGAAAAAAAGUUUGCGACCUCGAUGUUGGAUUAAGAUAAAAUUUAAAUGCAAAAGUUUAAAAUUUUGAUCUGUUCGAUCAUUAAAAUCUUACAUGAUCUGAGUUCAAACCGGUGUGAGCCAGGUUGGUUUCUAUCUUUAUAUAAAUAUAAUAUUUUAGUACGAAAGGAAUUUAUAUUAAAAAUAAUUUUAAAAUUUGAAUAUUAUUAAUUUAUUU